rnacentral:rRNA from 1 species
UACCAGCACCCCGAGUGGUCGGGACGUUUAUUGGGCCUAAAGCAUCCGUAGCCGGUUCUACAAGUCUUCCGUUAAAUCCAUCUGCUUAACAGAUGGGCUGCGGAAGAUACUAUAGAGCUAGGAGGCGGGAGAGGCAAGCGGUACUCGAUGGGUAGGGGUAAAAUCCGUUGAUCCAUUGAAGACCACCAGUGGCGAAGGCGGCUUGCCAGAACGCGCUCGACGGUGAGGGAUGAAAGCUGGGGGGAGCAAACCGG